CAGGGAGACAACAAAAUGUUUAAUAUUAAUUUUGUCACCUUAGGUCGAUCGGUAUCUCACAUCCUUAAUUCAUUAAGGAUUUCAUUUCCUAAGUUUUUCUAGGUCACACCCAUUAUUUUUCCUGGGCCAUUAGCUCAGGUGGUUAGAGCGCACCCCUGAUAAGGGUGAGGUCCCUGUACAAGUCCAAGGAUGGCCAUCAUAUCUCUAUGUUGGGGGUAUAGCUCAGUUGGUAGAGCGCCUGCUUUGCAAGCAGGAUGUCAGCGGUUCGAGUCCGCUUACCUCCACUGAUCACCACCUCUUCCAUAAAUUUACAGAGGGAAAUGUUUUGAGUUGGAUCUUUCUGACGAAGCCGCUUCCUAAUAUUCUUAUUAAUGCUGGACUCAUUGAAUUAAUUUCAUUGUUUUCAGAGAACCUUGACAACUGCAUAGAUUAUUUUUAAAGACAAUAAGCAUCUUUAAUGAUGCAGAUUUAUUAUUUGUGCGAAUGCAUUAAUAACAAUUCUAUUAAGCUGAUGCUUCAA
rnacentral:tRNA from 1 species